GGUUGUAGCCUAGUGGUAGAGAGCUUGCCUGGCAUGUGUGAGGCACUGGGUUCGAUUCUCAGCACCA
rnacentral:tRNA from 1 species